AUUGAACGCUGGCGGCAUGCCUUACACAUGCAAGUCGAACGGUAACAGGUCUUCGGAUGCUGACGAGUGGCGAACGGGUGAGUAAUACAUCGGAACGUGCCCAGUCGUGGGGGAUAACUGCUCGAAAGAGCAGCUAAUACCGCAUACGACCUGAGGGUGAAAGCGGGGGAUCGCAAGACCUCGCGCGAUUGGAGCGGCCGAUAUCAGAUUAGGUAGUUGGUGGGGUAAAGGCCUACCAAGCCUACGAUCUGUAGCUGGUCUGAGAGGACGACCAGCCACACUGGGACUGAGACACGGCCCAGACUCCUACGGGAGGCAGCAGUGGGGAAUUUUGGACAAUGGACGCAAGUCUGAUCCAGCCAUGCCGCGUGCGGGAAGAAGGCCUUCGGGUUGUAAACCGCUUUUGUCAGGGAAGAAAAGGUUCUGGUUAAUACCUGGGACUCAUGACGGUACCUGAAGAAUAAGCACCGGCUAACUACGUGCCAGCCGCCGCAGUAACAC
rnacentral:rRNA from 1 species